rnacentral:lncRNA from 1 species
CCUCUUUCACCCGAGAAGCCUUGCGUGCACUGUUAGCAAACUCACACAAGUGAAGAGGGACCUUUCUUUGCUACACAGCGUCCUCCGUGGCGAGCUGGAGGGAAGCGCUCUCAGCAGAGAGGGUCGCCCUCACCAAGAAGCCAAAGGGAAGAGGACAGAAUCUAUCUUGUAGGGACGCCCUUGGUCUUCAGAAGGAACACUUUUUCUGUUUCACAGAGAUCUGUGGAAUGUGUGGGUUCCCUGAAGAGGUGGACGGACCCCCGGGGUCGCGCGUUUUCUCAGCCCUGGGCCCGUAGCGGAGCUCGAUCCUUCCAGAGCUCAGGGCCAGAAAUGUUGCGAUUCCGAACACUUUGCCUUUCUUCUGAGAGGAGCCGCCCGGCAGACGCUCAUCAUUAAGAAGCAACGUAAUUAACAACGAAUGUUUCCCCUUGGCGCUAAUGCGAACACCCUGGGGAACUGCCAAGUCUGAUAUGUCCACCGCAUUACAAAUGGGAUUCUCUGGCAUCUGACCAACCCUCACAAUGGCUACUGGCCAUCUCAUGCCCAACAGGACAAUGCUUAUUUCCACCAGGAGAUGGCGCAUGCCUUUUUUUUUUUUUUUUUAAAUCCCCAGGAAGGUCUCAGUGCUGCAAAAGCUCCAUGACCAUUCUGCUUCUAAACUGACGGAGCAAACAUAUAUUUCCAGUGGUAAUGCUAGGAAAUACUUUGCUAAGGAUGUUACUUUGGUCCUUCAGCCAGUGGUCAGAGAACAGAAUGACCAUACUGCAACCACCCAUGGUGAACUGACUGGCACACCUACAAAAAUCUUAUCUUUGGGGUCCCCAUAGUACCCAGUGGAUUGCCUUGCACAUUGUAGGUGCUCAGUAUGUGUUUGCUAAAGACAUGACCCUGGAUAAAUCACUUCACCUCAAUUAGUCUGUUUCCCAAAUCUGAAAAUAAAAGCAGUGAAAUGGACAAGGUGACAGUUAAGGCCUUGAAUCAGAAGAGCCUCUGACAAUGUGACAAAUAGCUUUCUGGAAGCCACUAACUGCUGAGUCCCAGACUGUCAAUCCACAAAGAUUUCACUGAAAAUUUAAGAGAAAAUGAAAGCUACUCAGUCUUUCUCAUAGUAGUCUUUUAAGGAAAUAAAACAUGCAAGAAAAUACUGCAGUAACCCAGGAGAAAUGAAAAGCACAGACUGCACACUGGGACACGUGUUACAUGGCUGGCUCAAGGAGCUUCAGAAGCAGAGGCUCACGGACUGGGCCAAACCAGACAGUGCGCUCCUACUCAGACCUUUCCUGAUUUUCAGGAUUUGCGCCAACACCCACCUUAAUGCCUCAGAGGUAAGGGUCAGUGUAGUACACGAAUCUAUUUCUCUAGGCUCUCCUCCUUACAAAGCCCUUCCCCUCUCAGUCUUGGCAAGACGUUGGCCACGCUCACCACUUCCACUUGCUCCUUUCCCAGCACCGAGCUCUGAGGGCCUCUCUGCCAGAGCAGCUCUGAUACAGAACCGGCAAGUACACCUUUGCUGAGCUGGGGGCACUGUGUAAUUGCUGGAGACAGGCACAGUCAUGGGGCUGUGAUCAAAUCCAGGUGCCAUCACUCACAUGUUCAAUGACCUUGGUGAGCAUGGUCUUAAUUCCUCUGUACUUCAGUUUCCUCAUUUGUAAAUGGAGGUAAAAUUGGUAGCCACCUCAGAAAGUUCUUGUGAAAAUUAAAUAAUGUUGAUAUAAAUAAAUUAAUACAAUGUUUGACACACAACGUUAACAAUGGGUACUAAUGGCAAUUAUUAUAAUUAUUACUAUUACUUUCUUUGUUGUUGCAUAUCUGUCCCACAUCCUCACUGCCAGAGCCAUUCCUCCAAGACUGAGAUAAAAUGUCACUCUUGGUUCAGGAGCUGUGGCAGUAGGAGAACAUCAGGCAACUAGUCCUAGACUUAUCAUCAUCCCCAUGGAAGGAGUGUGAUUGUAAGUCUCUCUGAGGACAUCACC